rnacentral:lncRNA from 1 species
AGCAUUUGUAACUGAAGCACACUUGCCUUUUGCAGCUAAGCUCUACUGAAUUCCAAAGCCAUAGAAAUAUCCAUCUUAACCUGGAAAGUCAGUUUCUUUGCUAGCCCAGAAGAUUGUUUAACAUGAACAGGAUCCUCUCAAGCACUCUUUGCUUCGGACUCCUAACUUUGUUAUCUGUGUUGAUCUUUUUACAAUCUGUGCAUAGACAGCCAUAUCUUACCCAAGGUAUGUGCACAUCAAUUUAAAAUCUUACAGGUUGAAAAUGAUGGUUUUUGAUCAUUACACAAAAUGAAAUAUUUCCAGAUAAAAAAUAUACAAAUUGUGAGGAACUAUUGCUGGCUCUACAGAAUAAAAAUUUUGAUCUUGAAAGACCUUUCAACACUGUUUUAACAGCUGGAAAAGCUAAAAGAAGAGCUAGUGGAGGUGAAGGAUUCUGAGACAUCCUAUGCUGCAGAUGGUCUAUUCUCUCCUCAUCCUAGCAAGCAAGAGUUUACAUGAAGCCUUAUGUAUAUUGACCAUUUUCCUUCACUGCAUGCCUACACUGUGUGGAACACAUGGACUCCAGCGUACCUACAGUAGGAUGGGAGACAGAUGAAGCAGGUAAAUAUGCUUUUAACUGCCAGAGCUAUGCAUAUGGUCCCAAUUUAAGUUAAUAAGGAUGUGGGAUCCUUAGGAAAUAUAGAGACGUCUUAGGAAUAGUUGAAGACUUGUAUUCAUACCACAUAUCUUGGGUUUGUUAUGCCAUGUAUAAUGAAGAUAAAAUGUAUGAAUUUGAAGUUAGAGAAUAGGAAUUUAUAUCUCCAAUCAGCCCAAAUUAGAGUAUACAUUUGACAGUUAUCAGCAUAUACAUAUUGUUUGGUAUUGGGAUGAGUCUGAGAGGGUAGAACCCCUCCCCAUCUCCCUCCUCGCAGGCCCCCACCUCCUCCCUUCCUAUGAGAAGGAAGGUAAAGAAAGAUAAAAUACCAAAGGACUGGAAUCGGUGGUCAUGCGACUUGCUGAUGCCACUGACCAGGCCAUAAUGAGAACCAAGGACUGGGAAGAUAAUUCC